AUUACUUCCUUACUCUUUUUGACACCACAAGAUGAUCUAGGUUCAUCUUGUACUUUCCCAGCCAUUUUUCUAAGGAGUCCUGAUUCUUCUUAUUGAAGAGUGGUAUUUCAAAGCCAAGAUCUGGAUACUGGGCAUGAGGCCAUGCCUCCAUUUUUCCUAUUUUAUUUGUUUCCCUAGCCUUGUGCUUCUUCACAUAUCUUCCAUAAUCUCCUUGGUUCAAUAAAAAGGUGUUUUCACAUUU